GUUUUCGUAGUGUAGUGGUUAUCACGUGUGCUUCACACGCACAAGGUCCCGGUUCGAUCCCGGGCGGAAACA
rnacentral:tRNA from 1 species